GCAUAGGUUUUAGGGGGCUGCAGGAGAGCCCAGGCUACUAAACAGAGCACAGACGUCAAGAAACUUGGAACUUCCCCUCCGCGCUCCGGGACGCAGGCAGGGCGCUCAACGAGGGGAGGCGCCACCUACAGGACAGAGGAAGACCUGCACCCUGAUCUGGAAAAUUCGACCGCUGGGGGGUCCGGAACCGACUGGGCACCGUGUGCCCCUCCUCCUCCUCGCCGUAGACCGUUCACCUCGGGGUUCCCGAUUUUUGAGACUCCCUUACUCAGCUGGAGAGAAAAUCGUUGCCAAGCUUGCUGUACAUCCUUGGGCAGAAGACUGAAGAGGCAGGAAGCUAUCAUGUUAUGAGCAAGUGCUACAUUCCAGACACCAUGGACUAGGAACUUGACAUCAAUUCAAUUAUUUCAUGUAGUCUUUGCUACAACUCCAUGAGAGAAUAUCAUUAUUUUCACAUUAAAGGUGUGGAAACUAGGCUCAGAGAGCUUAAGAAACUUGCACAAGUCCAUCUAGGCGAUGAGUGAUAGAGAUGGUGAAACUGAGACCUAGAAAAAUAAACAAAUAUUGUGCCAGAGGUGUCAGGGUGAAUUCCUGACAAAGCCAGCACCUUCAUUUGCUUCUCCAGGCUCCAGGCCCAUGACGAAGACUUGGACUGAGAACUGGCCUCACCUGCCACCCCUCAGAACAUUCUGCAAGAACACCCUAAUGACACGUUGACAAGCUGGUGAAGCAUAGUUCCCUCUCUGUUGCAUCUGCCUCUGACACCACCACUCCUCCUAUAGUCUCUGACGUGGGCAGAUGGAGGCCUCGGCAGGCUCCGACACCGCCCGGCUGCUCAGCUAGAAGCUCUGUACACCCCUUUCUUCUGGAAACAAAAGAAUAAAAUUCCUGGGGAUCGACCACAGCAUCUUCCUUCCCCAACACGUCAAGAGCUUGUUGACAUGAACUUCAUCCCCAAUUGAAUUAGAGAUGGACACCGGGUGUCAGGAUUUCAUCCUGGUUAUUCUACACAAAAGAAAAGGCUAAGGCAGGGCGAUGAACAUGCCUGUGGUUCCACACACGGUAGAACAACAAAGGUAGAAUCAUCGGUGUCCAGGCUUCCAGCUCCAAGAUCUUCCCAUUCCUUGAGUCAUCUAGCUGUGCCGUGCCUGGGAACCACAGUGCGGCAGGAGGGGAGCCCUGGCAGGUACACUGGUUCCCUGGCUUUAGUGUAUGUGCUGCCGAAGCGAGCACGGCUCCCUGACUUUGGGCGUGAAGGUUUCUGUGACCCCACUAUUGUACAGAUGUGCAAUAACAUGUGGAUAGGCACGUGGCACAGAGUAUGUGUGCCUGUGCAGGUGCACAAAGGGGCUGUUUCCAGCUGUCUUUAUGUCGCACCCAGAGGUGAGGAACAAUCCCAAGCAAUCACCUUCCUUAGGCAAGACAGCUCUCAUGCAGUCAUUCCUCACAGGCUCAGCAGGGUUCUAUGGGGACCAACCCAGGGUGGGGGCCUCUGCUUGUUGUAUGCUGUCCCCUAAGUCAUAUGACCAUUUCCGAGACGUGCCAGAGGAAAGGCACAACAUUCGUGAUAUGAUAUUUCCAUGAUAUAUUUGUGGCAAGGUGCUAACCUAAACAUAACCGAUGCAGGCGGCCUGGGUGG